CGGGGGGGGCAAGCGUUGUUCGGAAUUACUGGGCGUAAAGGGCUCGUAGGCGGCCAACUAAGUCAGACGUGAAAUCCCCAGGCUCAACCUGGGAACUGCGUCUGAUACUGGUUGGCUUGAAUCCGGGAGAGGGAUGCAGAAUUCCAGGUGUAGCGGUGAAAUGCGUAGAUAUCUGGAGGAAUACCGGUGGCGAAGGCGGCAUCCUGGACCGGCAUUGACGCUGAUGAGCGAAAGCCAGGGGAGCAAACGGGAUUAGAUACCCCGGUAGUCCUGGCCCUAAACGAUGAAUGCUUGGUGUAACGGGUAUCGAUCCCUGUUGUGCCGAAGCUAACGCAUUAAGCAUUCCGCCUGGGGAGUACGGUCGCAAGGCUG
rnacentral:rRNA from 1 species